CCUACGGGUGGCUGCAGUGGGGAAUAUUGGACAAUGGGCGAAAGCCUGAUCCAGCCAUGCCGCGUGUGUGAAGAAGGCCUUCGGGUUGUAAAGCACUUUCAGUGGGGAAGAAAGCCUUGGGGCUAAUACCCUCGAGGAAGGACAUCACCCACAGAAGAAGCACCGGCUAACUCCGUGCCAGCAGCCGCGGUAAUACGGAGGGUGCGAGCGUUAAUCGGAAUUACUGGGCGUAAAGCGCGCGUAGGCGGUCUGAUAAGCCGGUUGUGAAAGCCCCGGGCUCAACCUGGGAACGGCAUCCGGAACUGUCAGGCUAGAGUGCAGGAGAGGAAGGUAGAAUUCCCGGUGUAGCGGUGAAAUGCGUAGAGAUCGGGAGGAAUAGCAGUGGCGAAGGCGGCCUUCUGGACUGACACUGACGCUGAGGUGCGAAAGCGUGGGUAGCAAACAGGAUUAGUACCCGAGUAGUC
rnacentral:rRNA from 1 species